CCUACGGGGGGCUGCAGUGAGGAAUAUUGGACAAUGGGAGAAAUACUGAUCCAGCCAUGCCGCGUGAAGGAAACAGCCCUAUGGGUUUUAAACUUCUUUUGUAUGGGAGCAAUAAGGUGUAUGAAUACACCGACGAGAGUACCAUACGAAUAAGCAUCGGCUAACUCCGUGCCAGCAGCCGCGGUAAUACGGAGGAUGCAAGCGUUAUCCGGAUUUAUUGGGUUUAAAGGGUGCGUAGGCGGAACGAUAAGUCAGUGGUGAAACGCAUCGGCUCAACCGAUGACCUGCCAUAGAAACUGUCGAUCUGGAAUACGGAUGCUGUGGGAGGAAUGUGUAGUGUAGCGGUGAAAUGCAUAGAGAUUACACAGAACACCGAUUGCGAAGGCAUCUCACAAAUCCGUUAUUGACGCUGAGGCACGAAAGUGUGGGGAUCAAACAGGCUUAGAUACCCCAGUAGUC
rnacentral:rRNA from 1 species